UGAGAGUAUAAAAGGACAGUCCGUUUCCAGCUCCUCCAACAACUUCAAGAGAUCCUUUCUUCACAAAGCUGAUCUAACUCAACCUUAAACAAAAUGAGCCUCUACAGACACCAAAAAUACUGGGACCCAUGCCGCCGUGGAAGCUUCUCUUCUGGGAGCUGGUAUGGAGGUUCCGGCCAACGCAUCUGCUACUACCCAUCUUACGGCCGUAGCUACUGCCCACCGUACUAUUCUGGCGGUUAUGGUUAUGGUCGUAGUUACUACCCACCACAAUAUUAUGGGGGCUAUGGUCGUUGUUACUACCCACCGCAAUAUUAUGGGGGCUCUGGCUAUGGUGGCCUCUAUGGUCGUCGCUCCAGCUGCUAUGGAUUGGGAUACGGCUCGAGGCGUGGCAGCAUCUGUUACGACCCCUGUGGCUACGGUUCUGUGAAAUACUACCCGCUGUCUCGAAGGUACAGCUGCAGCAGCAUCUGUGGACCCUGCUAAAUUCUGGAGGCAAAUUUCAGUGAAAUGUUAAAUGACAACGUAGACCCAUGAACUCUCCAGCUGAACGUUUCCCCCCAGGAAUGCUGAUCACUAAAGAAUUUCCAUGGUUAUUACUGUGUGCUCAGCAAUUCUAUUAAUCAGUCCUAUGCCUGACUUUGCUCACACCAUGCUCUGCCUUUAAUAAAUGACUAGUUCUCUAACGAACUCUACCUGCAUGUCCAUGAAGCCCCAGUUUUUUCUGUUAUGUCCAUUUUAUCUUCUACAGGACAACCUGACAAUGGAAAUGUUCUUCAGUUUUCUGUCUGUGUUGUGUUAUUUGGACUGAAACCUGCAGUUGCUCAUUGUCGCAAUCCACGUUUUGUUCUCACAUUAAACGCUUGCUUCGCAUCACAA